CGAUGUUGAAUAAAAUUCUAGGUAGAAUUAUGAUAAUGACAUUGUCUGCCUAUGUGUCUUGACCAAAUUACGUGCCAGCAGUCGCGGUAAUACGUAGAAGACUAGUGUUAUUCAUGUUUAAUCGGUUUAAAGGGUACCUAGACGGUAGAUCAAGCUUUCUAAUAAAUGAAAAGGACUAAUUUACUAGAGUUACUUAUGAGGGGGUAUUAAAGUACUGCUGGUGUAGAGAUGAAAUUCUGUCAUACCUCUUUUCAAAAGAAAAACCAUGGCACAGGUAUAGGCGAAGGCAUCCCCUUAUGUGAUAACUGACGUUGAGGGACGAAGGCUUUGUGUAGCGAACAGGAUUAGAUACCCUAGUAGUCGAAGCAGAAAAUGAUGAAUGUCAUAGAUUAGAUGUCUAAGUUUAUUCUAUAAAUGAAAGUGUAAGCAUUCCACCUCAUGAGUAAUUUGGCAACAUUGGAACUGAAAUCAUUAGACCGUUUCUGAAACCAGUAGUGAAGUAUGUUGUUUAAUUUGAUGAUCCGCAAAAAACCUUACCACAAUUUGAAUAUUUAUAUUUUUUUAUUGUUUUCUUCUGAUUUUCUUCUGAAGAAGAAGAUUAACGAGAUAAAAAACAAAAAAGGAAGAAAAUUAAGAAAUAGGCAAUAAGAUAUAUUUACAAGCGUUGCACGGCUGUCUUCAGUUAAUGUCGCGAGACUUUGGUUAGUUCCAUUAAAUUAACGUAAACCCUUACUUUAUUUUUAUAUAGAGUAGUUCCCCGCUAUAUUGGAUGUGAU
rnacentral:rRNA from 1 species